UUAUACUUCUAAAGAUGAUUUCCACAAAUCUUUGCCCACAAAAAUGUUAAUAGGCCUUUUCGCCCUCUUUUUAUCUAUCGCCGCCAUGAUGAUUGUCUUUUCUUGUACUCUUUAAUGGGCAAGCAUCGAUUGUUGUUCCAAGCAUUUUGCUUGCUUGUGUUCCAGUUACCUCCUUCAUCUGGAUGCAAUUUCCGUUACUUGUUGACAUAGUCUUUUAUACGUUACUUGGACCAAGAAUGUCGUGGAGAAUAGAAAUGUCUGAAAUUUGAACUCCUAUGUAAUCUUUUGAUUUAUUUCUGGAUUUGCUAGGUUUUAACUUUUAACAAUCUUCCCCGUCGCUCAUCUCUCCCUCUCUCUUACGCGAAUCAAGUCUCAAAAUCAAGUUGGUCUGAUGCAAAAUCUUCAAGGCUUGACGGUUCCGGCUUGACGUUCUUUGCUGCUCCGUAUGAAUUAGCUUGAGGGUGAGCCUAUCACUGUCCCUCACCUACUUGUAAACAGCAGCUUCUCAGCAACCUCACAUUUUCAACGAAGACCCCAAAAAGCCGAGUCGCCGACGCUCGAAACUUUCAUCGAAAUUUCUCGAUUUCUCCUCUGAAUCAGGUUUUGCAUUGCCUUGUUGUAUUUUGUUUCUAUCGGUGGAACACAGAAUUUCACCUAGGUUGAGCUUAACUGUUUUUCGUUUUUCUGUAAAGAGAAGCAUAAGACAUAGGAUUUAUUUGUUUGUGGUUUGGGGGAGGGGUUCAUAGCUUGUUAUUUUGUAUAUAAGCGUAACUCAGCUAAGUUUAUUACGAAAGUUGCUUGACAAGUGCUAAAUUACUGAUCGGGCAUAUGUCAAGUUUUGUUUAAACUGCUGAAAUGGCAUGCUGUUAAAUGGAAGAAUGAACAGAGAGUACUAGUGUAUUUGGAUAUGUUUUCGGUGAUUACUACCUAGUUGGUUGUUAACAUAAUUUUGUUAUUCUUCUGCCUGGAAUCAGGUGGAAGGUUGUGUUAUAUGUUUGUUAAACUCAUUGUGUCUCCUGCUGUCAUCUCUGGGAUGACUAGAGCACAUGUAGUGAGCAGUCUUGCAAUUUACCUUGAGGUUCUGUAGUUCCUUACAAAUAAACGUCUCUCUGUCAAGACAUAUAUUGUGAUUUUUUUUCUUCUUCCAUCUGUUUGUUGAUAUAAUCUGUUAGGUAGAGCAUGUUAUGAUGUUUCCAAUUUGAUAAAUAGCGUUAAGUCAUAAUGAAUUCAAUUCAACCAUUGUAUGAUUUGUAUUUAUUUAGAAUUCAUAGAUGUAGGAGAAGAUACAUAGGAACUUAAAAAAUCUAGAACAAUGAAAAACUAUGCAUAUAUUGUGUAGCUGUGUAGCUUUUGUUCUAAUAGGCAGCUAC